AGCUCACGUAAGAGUUUGAUCAUGGCUCAGAUUGAACGCUGGCGGCAUGCCUUACACAUGCAAGUCGAACGGCAGCGCGGGGCAACCUGGCGGCGAGUGGCGAACGGGUGAGUAAUAUAUCGGAACGUACCCUGGAGUGGGGGAUAACUAGCGAAAGUUACGCUAAUACCGCAUACGAUCUAAGGAUGAAAGCAGGGGACCGCAAGGCCUUGUGCUCCUGGAGCGGCCGAUAUCUGAUCAGCUAGUUGGUGGGG
rnacentral:rRNA from 1 species